CUUAACUAUGGCCUAGAUAAAUGGAUCUCGAUCCAGACUUUAAAUUCACUCUAAAUCCGUAGACAGAAAUGAGUAAUACAGCACAUCAUCUUGAUACUAAUGAUAUGAAUACUACUUAUAAGUCUCAUAUGUAUAAACAUACAUAUGACUUGUAUCGGGAUCCAUCCAUCUAAACCAUAGUUACGUGUACGCGUACUCGCUGAAUGUUCAAAACCGAUUUUCUCGAAAACGAAACCUCAAAUGAACAAAUUUUAUUCUUUAUUUUCGAUAUGUUUUUUUAUGUAGAAUCACCCCCACCUCGGUUGUACUACCGAUGCUGGGACACCCUGUAUAUUAAUUACUAAAAUAUUUUUAAAACUGAUACGAAAUUGAGAAAAUUUUUCCUCUUAAAAAUAAAAAACGGUAAAUGUUUGACCGCCUAGUUUCACAAGGGUCCUAAGACUGGAUACACCUGGCUGACACGAGGCAAUGUUCGCAUCCAACUCUCGCUUCAUUCAUCGAGAAACCGUCGCGACUCCGUUAGCUGUUAAUCGCGUUACAGUUGCAUACGAGAGAUAUUUUUGCACCGUGCUUUUGAUCUUGUCGUAAUCUGGUAUUCAUGCGUGCGUGCGAGCAACGAAGGUGUGACGAUCUAGCAAUCCGGAGGCAUCGCCAUUACGCAAUCGGAUCUAUUCUCGGUCGUAGGACGCGUGUCCUGGCCGCAGGACACGCCGUAGGACUCGUAACAGACCGAACGAAAAAAGCCUGCGUGAGAAUCAGUUUUGUUCGGGGCGGAUUAUUAAAAAUUAUGUAAAUAAUUACGUAAAUCGGAGACGCAUCUAGAUGUUAUGUAAAGCCUGGCUCGAUUCGAUGGCUGGACUAACCGAGAGCUCGAUCCUAUCCCUUUGUUCGCGGAAUAGUACCGAGCGAUUAUAUAAAAGGAACAGAAGGAGAGCCGUGUUUAGAAUGUUUCGUUUUGACACCGACGUUUUAACUCCACCGCCAUGUGUAAUUAUUCGGACACCCUACGUGGAUUGAUUGUAAAAAAAAAGUCGUCACAUUUUUUUAGGGGUUUCGAUAAGACGACGACAGUAUAGGAGACUGCCUCUGGUGGUGUGCUGGCGUUUUUCAAGAGGGAGAAUUUGGCAAAUGAAGCAAUCGCGAUCGAUGACAGGUCCUAUGACCCUCAAAAUGGAUCCUAAAAUUCGAGAAAAAGAAAUUUUCAAUAUAUCUUUAUGCUCUCAUUAAUCGUCAUAGUUAAUCGUUUGAUAAUAUUAAUUGGUUUGGUGUGAAGAGCAAUAUUAUUGUGUUUCAUGCUGAGUCUGCUAACUGGAUUUAUCGAAUCAGCUUGCAAUAAUUCGUACUGAAAGUUAGAUCAUCGACGGACUUACAGCAGAGUAAGUUUUCAAUAAUUCCAGCAGAAUCUUAUCGCAAGAUUCGUUCGACUAUUGUGUGGGAACAUCUCAGCAUAGUAAACUAUAGCGUCGCAAGCGGAAGGUAUCAGACUUCUCACGUUCUGUUCAACGUGAUACUAGAAACGUUGAUAUCCCUAACACACUGGAAUGAGAUAUCAACUACAAAUAUUCUAAAAAUAAGUGUGCGUUUCGUUGAAGCAACGAAUGAAACACAUACGCACGCGAACACGAGUUGCAGGUUAAUUUGUUACAUAAACGCUCCUUUUAUUGUUAUGAAAAGAAAGUUUCAAAGUCAAAGGGUGAUUAGAUUUCUAUCAUGUAUUAGGUGGACUGGCAAGUAAUGUCGUUUUUUCAAUUUGAAAUACUUGCUUAUCACUCGCUAGCUCAUUGAUUUUUAUCGAUCCGGCAUUCAAAAUUUUUACACUAAAUGGCAAAAGGCUGUUGAUAACGACGGCGAUUACAUAAUUAAUUAAAAAAUGGAGUUUAUUCAAAAUUUGUUUGAAUUUAAUGUAAAAUAAUCGACAUUACAUUCCAGUCCACCUAAUAUAUAAAAAGUAAAAAUAAAUGAAAAUUGGAAGAACCUUCGAAGAGAUCUUGUAUUGAAACUUAAAUAUAAAUUGAAUAAAAAUAAAUUUAAAUGUGUAUUUAAAUUGUUAUUAAAUUUUGUUACCAGAAAAUAAAACCUUGAAGGCCCUUUUGGAAACCCUUAAUUAACCUGUAAUAUCUUCAAUUUUACAUUCAACUGAAUAGAUGUUUAAACAAAUAUUCGAGUGUAUUAGGGGGGCCAGAAAGUAAUGUCGUUUCUUUUACAUUA